rnacentral:lncRNA from 1 species
UAUUUUCUCCACUCGAAUAUUACACGUUAGAAAUAAUUAUAUAGAUACAGUAGAUUUUUGGAGAACAUCGCCAACAAUACAUGUUUAUAGACUACAUAAUGUGGAGUUUACUAGCUUUAGUUUUUCAAACUUUAUAUUUUCUUUUUCUACAGGUACACCUUUAAAAAUAAUUAUUUUGUACUUACAUAUAUGUAUAUAAAACAUGCCUCCUAUUACCAUAUUGAUAGUGUUAUAUAAAUCAUGGGAUUCGUCCCCUUUAAAACAGCAUAAGGGAUGUACUCUGGAUUCUAAUAGGAUUACUGAUGGAGUAGAGGCAGAAUAAGGAGAAAUACCUUGGCAAGUAUCCCUUAUUAUUCGAUAUAUGAGUAUUACAAGUUUUGGUUCGUGUGGAGGAUCGAUCAUCAGUAGUAAUGAUGGUUUAACUGCUGUUCAUUGUUUUAAUAUAAUAACUAAGAAAAAUGAUUCUUAUUAUCCAGAUUGGUGUAGAAGUUAUUUUAUGUAUAUAUUGUUCUAGUAACAUUUUUUACUGUUCAACAAUUUUAUUAUAAACAUAUCAUAUUCAUAUAUCAAAGUAUACAAAUAUGAUAUGUUUAUAGUAAGAUAGUUGAAGAGCAAAAUAUGUGACUAGAACGAAAUAUACUAAUAUAUAGGGACUAAAAUCCUACGAAAUUCCGGAAAAUAUAUAAUAUUUCUCUUAGUUAUUAUAUUAAACCAAUGAGGAUCAGUUAAACCAACGUUUCCACUGAUUCCACACGAACCAUAACUCGUAAUACCCAUACAUUGAACAAUAAUGAAUACUUGCCAAGGUAUUUCUCCUUGUUAUACCUCUACUCCAUCAGUAAUCCUAUUCGAAUCCGAAGUACAUCCCUUAUGCUCUUUUAAAGGGGACGAAACCCAAGGUUUAUAUAUCACUAUCAAUAUAUAUUUAGGAGUCAUUUUAUAUAUAUAUAUAUAUGUAAAAACAAAAUAAUUAUAAAGCGUACCUUUAGAAAAAGAAUUUACAAAGUUUGAAAAACUAAGUGCUAGUAGACUCCAUAUUCUGUAGUCUACAUAUAUAUAUUAGCUUUGGACUCUGAAAAUCUACUGUGCAAUAUCUAUAUAAUAAUUUUUAAAAUGUAAUAUUUUGUUGAAGAAACAAAUGUACGUGUCGAACAUGAUAUCAGCUGGUCAAGAGAUGGUGACGGGAAAUAAUUGCAGCUUCAAGUGCGAGGGGAUCCUUAGAAAUUUGUAUUCUUUUAUGGGUGUACCUAUUAGCCCCUCUUGGAAAUUUUCCCCAUUAAAUGUUGUCGAAGGUUUCAUGUCUGAUUUACCUUCCUUCUACCAAAAAUGAAUUUCAAUUCCCAAAAGAACAUGACUCGGUUUUUAACGAUGCUAAAGAAAAUAUAAUCCAAAUAAGGCUGAGACAAUAUAUAUACAUAUAUUAAUAACAGUGAUUCCAUUUUGUUGGCCCAUAAUUCAUGGAGGAGCCGAUAUUUCUUCGUCAUUAUGAGCUGUAUUUAUUUUGAGCUAUCAAUGUGUCACUUUUUUUAAAUCUGAACCCAAAUAGAACAUAAGGGCCCGGAGCAAAUCAACAUCGAGGAUAUUUUUGUAUCAUAUACUUAUCCAAUAUAAUUAGACUUUGAAAAGCUCUCUAUAAAGACGUAUAUAUGUGAUGAUUGAUGGAAUAUGAAUAAAAGAACCCAUGGAAAAUUAAUGUCUUUAAUAUCGCAAAUGAGAAAAUGAUUUUUAUAUAAUGGCUAACAUGAUGCGCUGAAGCAAUGAAAUAAUUUUCUUAAAUUCAUUAGGAAUCAAAUUGGAGUUGGCUUUGGGAUCAAAAUACUCAAGGAUUACAACGAUAGAGCUCAUUGGAUCUGUUAUUAAUCAAUUAUUUUUUCUAUCUAUCGAACUCCUGAGUUCUUAUAGGAGUAUACGAUAAUUUCAUAGAAGAUCUAAAGGACUUAUCAAUGGCUUGUCUCUUCGAUAUCAGUUCUCAGAUAUUUGUCGAAUCAUUUCUCCCAUUCUUCUAUGUAAAGUUUUAAUUGGGUUUGGUCUGUCGAUUGACACUCGAGUAGAGUUACUUAUUCUCGCAACGAAUGCUUUAUAUCCCACUUGUGAAGCUAAAAGUUAUCGAUCUCCAUUCCAAUCAGUAAGAUACUUUUUUAUAAGUAAUUAUGCCUUCAAAUUUAUUUUCAUUUACAAAAAAUCUAGAACAAUCCUACCGAAUGCGUCAUGAUAUGUUCUUAAAUGGACUGAUUCUUUAUUUAAAAUAAAUGUGUCAAUACAAUUGGACGAUCAAUAAGAAAGAUUAAAGACAUAAUAUAGUCUUUACUCAAUCAAGAUAACAAGUUCGACACUUGAUGGAUCCGCAAUGAACACUUUUAAUAAUUAUAUAGAAAACUUUAUAGAAGACAGACUUGACUCAACCACCACAAUAAAACAUAGAUGUUUUAUAGUAUCAGUAACAUUUAAUCGAUGUCGUCUCCAUGGAAACCUCUUCAAAAAAAAAAUAUAUAAUAAUAAUUCUGAUGGAAAUUUUAAAUUCAGGGAGAUUGUGGGGAUCUUUUGGUUUUAUAUAGUGUAUAAGUGUUGUUUUUUUCUUAAAAAUGUGUUUUUUAACUUGUAAAUAUUGUCAAUAGUUAUAUUCUUUUAUCGGUUAUCAUUUUUGUAUUGUGUCAUAUAAGUUCUAAAUAUAUUGCGUUAUUAUAAUAAUUAA